ACACAGCCUGGCAGAGCAGGCAUCACCAUGCAGAUGUCUUUGCUAGGGCAAAGCUCACCACCUGCACUCUGGGCAUGGUGACCCCUGCAGUUUCCCUAUGGAAAACUCAGCUACAUAGUUUUUGGUAACAGUGCAUUCACACAUA
ensembl:snRNA U1 U1 spliceosomal RNA